rnacentral:rRNA from 1 species
UAGGGAAUCUUCGGCAAUGGACGAAAGUCUGACCGAGCAACGCCGCGUGAGUGAAGAAGGUUUUCGGAUCGUAAAACUCUGUUGGUAGAGAAGAACGUUGGUGAGAGUGGAAAGCUCAUCAAGUGACGGUAACUACCCAGAAAGGGACGGCUAACUACGUGCCAGCAGCCGCGGUAAUACGUAGGUCCCGAGCGUUGUCCGGAUUUAUUGGGCGUAAAGCGAGCGCAGGUGGUUUAUUAAGUCUGGUGUAAAAGGCAGUGGCUCAACCAUUGUAUGCAUUGGAAACUGGUAGACUUGAGUGCAGGAGAGGAGAGUGGAAUUCCAUGUGUAGCGGUGAAAUGCGUAGAUAUAUGGAGGAACACCGGUGGCGAAAAGCGGCUCUCUGGCCUGUAACUGACACUGAGGCUCGAAAGCGUGGGGAGCAAAACAGGAUUAGAUACCCUGGUAGUCCACGCCGUAAAACGAUGAGUGCUAGAUGUAGGGAGCUAUAAGUUCUCUGUAU